UACGUAGGUGGCAAGCGUUGUCCGGAUUUACUGGGCGUAAAGGGAGCGUAGGCGGAUACUUAAGUGGGAUGUGAAAUACCUGGGCUUAACUUGGGUGCUGCAUUCCAAACUGGGUGUCUAGAGUGUUGGAGAGGAAAGUGGAAUUCCUAGUGUAGCGGUGAAAUGCGUAGAGAUUAGGAAGAACACCAGUGGCGAAGGCGACUUUCUGGACAAUAACUGACGCUGAGGCUCGAAAGCGUGGGGAGCAAACAGGAUUAGAUACCCUGGUAGUCCACGCCGUAAACGAUGGGUACUAGGUGGAGGAGGGAGCGACUCCGCCUGUGCCGCCGUUAACACAAUAAGUACCCCGCCUGGGGAGUACGGUCGCAAGAUUAAA
rnacentral:rRNA from 1 species